ACCAGGCAUAGUGAUGCAUACCUAUAAUCCUUGUUACUGGAAGGCUGAGACUGGUGGAUGCCUAGAGCUCUGAAGUUCUGAGCAGUGGUAAUCCCAAAGCUGAUAGGGUAUCUGCACUAUGUUGUCACCUAUAUGAUGAUCCCCUGGGAUGAGGAGUCCACCAGGCUGCCUGAAGAGGGGCCAACCAGCCCAAGGUGGAAAUGGAGCAAGUCAAAGUUUCUCUGCUGAUCAACAAUGGAGCUGGGCCCAGAAAUGACUGCCACUCUAUCAGCCUGGGCUACACAGGGAGACCCAGUCUCA
rnacentral:SRP_RNA from 1 species